GUGCUGGGAUUACAGGCUUGAGCCACCGCGCCCAGCCUGUAAUUAACUUUUUAAAUAUAAAAAGUCACAAAUCUACACUCAUAUUUUCCGUGUAAGAUUAUGGAAUUUUUACUUGAAGUCUUUGAUUUUAUACUUGCGUCUCUUUACGUCUGUGCAGAAAACCUUGGUUCCUAAGAUGAUAAUUGCUUUAUCAUAUAACCUACCUACAAUAGUUUCAGGUUUUUUUUUUUUUUUUUUUUUGAGAUGGAGUUUUGCUUUUUUUACUCAGGCUAGAGUGAAAUGGCGUGAUCUCGUCUCACUGUAACCUCUGCCCCCCAGGUUCCAGUGAUUCUCCUGCCUCAGCCUCCCUAGUAGCUGAGAUUACAAGUGCCUGCCACCACGCCCGGCUAAUUUUUGUAUUUUUAGUAGAGACGGGGUUUCGCCAUGUUGGCGGGGCUGGUCUUGAACUCCUGACCUCAGGUGAUCUGCCUGCCUCAGCCUCCCAAAGGGCUGGGAUUACAGGCGUGGGCCACUGUGCCCGGCUAGUUUCAGAACUUAAAUACCAACUUUACUACUAUACAAUAAGACUUCUAAAUGCAGCUUAAAUUUUGUUUAUAUUUUCUUAUAGAAUGUAUCUCAUAAGAAAUGUACAGUCAAAAUAUUGUUUUUUUUUUUAAAGUCACUUGUAGUCACUAUUUUCACCUAUUCUGUUACCAACUUGACAUACAACCAGAUUUCAGUGUUUUCUUUUUUUCAAUUUUGGGGAGGAUUGCUUCUUUUUCCCUUGUUUAGUUUAAUUUUGUGUUUUAGUUAUGCAAAAAAUUACUAAUUUUUUAGUAAUUUUUAUGUACAUUUUAAGAUAACAGGACAUUCUGUUUCUUCUUCUGUUAUCUUCCUUUGUGGAUAGAUGACCAUUUUCUUUUUAUUUUUGGGGUUAUUUUGAAAAUAUUAGAUAUGUAUAUAUUCACCCUUAUGCAAAAGUUAGCAUAUUCUAGAUAUUGUUCUAUACUUUGCUUUUAUUCAAUUAAAAUUCUUUCUCAGAAAUCACUUCAUUAUUCUAUAGAGAUAUUUCUCAUUCCUUUUUAUGGCUGUGCACACAUGCACACCAACUUUCCUAGACAGGUAUUUGAUUAAUUCUGCACACCCCCAUGACCUGGACUAAUAUUCAUGUAUAUUUCAAAUAUAAGGUUUUUAUUCUUGUGUAGAAUAAAUUGUAUAGACAAUUACAUUCUACGUAAUUAAUGCUCAUUUGAAUUUUACCCAUUCUUUUGCUAUUACAAAUAAUAUUGUAUUGAAUAUUCUUGUAUAUGUGUAAUGUCAUUUUAUAUUGCUAGAGGUGAGAUUGAUAUAUCAAAGGGUUAAUGAGGGCUGGGCAUGAUGGCUUAUACCUGUAAUCCCAGCACUUUGGGAGGCCAAGGCAGGAAGAUUGCUUGAGGCCAGUUCUGGAGGGAUGGAGAAAGGGAAGGAGAGGGCAACGUUACUAGUUGUUGCCAAAUUCUCCUCAAUGCUGUGUACCAUUUGACUUUCUUACCAACAAUGGAAUGAGAAUACCCAUUUUUCCUCAGUCUUACCAAAGAGUGUGUUGAAGGGUCAUUUUUAAAUUAUUGACUUUAGGUUUUUCCUGCCACCCAGGCAUUGUAAAUCAGGGUUGUAUGUUUGGGGCCUGUCUUAUGCAUAUUGGAGACGGGGUGGAGUUAGGGAGGAAGUAUGUGUUUGACUGCUCAACACCAAGGUUCUAAACUGAAUUGGGGAAAUGGGUGACAGCAGAUGAGACUGUAAAUUCACAUUUGCUCUGUAGAUAUAUUUGUUUGUCCCAGCUCUGUUAUUUAGGGCAGUUUCUUCUUAGAGUUCUCACUUUGGUUGAACUUUGGGCUUUGUCUCCUAUUUCCUCCAUGUUCGUUGACUACAUGGAGAAUUACAAGAAGCCAAACUAUCAAUGACACAUAAUAACCUAAUGUUAUGCACAAUUAUGAAGUAUUGUUCUUUGUCCCUGAUAAUGUUUUUAAUAAUUGUAAUAGAUAUUCGUUGAGAGUGGAAUAUCCAGUUACCAUUAAUGAAUUUUUUUCACCCACCAUGGGGGAUUGGGAAUAUUGUUUUAGAAACUGUUUUUGUGGGUCUGGAAUAAGACCCACACGUGCCUUGGGAAAGAUUUUUAGAGAUUCACUUUUUCCUUUGAUAGACUUGCUUAUUGGGCGGUUUUCUGCAGUCUGAGGAAUAGGGCCAAUUUGACUGUCAGUCUUUUGUUGAUUAAGUGAGAGUGCCAUCCAGUGGGAGAAAAAGCUAAUACAAGUUUUUUAAACUUUAGAAUAUGCAGAGGAAAUUAUUUCUUGUGCUAAGUUAUGUUCUCCAGAAGUCCACAAUACUAAAAAGUUGGGAACUGUAUGUUGGAAGGUGAGAGAAGUGGAAGAAAGUAGUCUUGCAGAACAGUAGCACGCAUAUAAUAGGGACCUAAUAAGUAGCCGUUAUUACCAUGAUUCUUCUUCUUGCGUGGAAGUUGGUGAUCAAGUUAAAUAAUAGGUAAAUUAGGAGCUUCUCUGACAGAUAUUUGUGAUUAAUACAUGUAAAAUUCUAUUGUCAUUUUUUGACUAUGUGAUAUACAGAUAUUAUAAAUUUUAUCCUUUUUUGUCUUUAACCCUAUUACUCAGGACCCACCCCUGGUCCCCAAAAAAAUGUUACCAGUUUCUAGUAUAUCUGUCUUAAAAUAUUACACUCUAUUAUAAACAUGUAUGUAUAUUUCUUGGCAUACUCAUUCAUUUAACAAAUAGUGUGGCUACUAUGUACCUGGCACUCUUCUAGGCGGGAUAAAGCAGUGAACCUCAUGUUCAGUGUAAGGUAUGCAUAUUCUACAUAUUGUUCUGUACCUUGCUUUUUUCGUCAAUAAGUUUCCCUCUAAUGACUGUUAUAGCUGCAUCCCACAAAUUUAUUCAAUUCAAAAUACACCCUUGUGAUUUCUGCUUUGGUCCAUGGAUUAUUUAGAAGCAUGUUUAAUUUCUAAGUGUUAAGAAAUUUUAAAAAUGUCUUUCUGUUAUUAAUUUCUAAUUUAAUUUGGUUGUGAUAAGAGAACAUGCUCUAUAUGCUAUCAUUCCUUUAAAUUUGUUCAGACUUGCUUUAUGGCCCAGCAUGUGGUCUCUCUCAUUGAAUGUUCCACAUUGAUUUAGAAUGAAGUACCUACUCUGUUAUUGUUGGAGUGUUACGUAAUUACCAUUUGAGUCAAGUUGUUCAGGUCUUUUAAAUCCUUAUUUAUUUUGUCUAUUAAUUCUGUUAAUUACUGAAAGAAGAAGAAUGAAAUUUCUACCUAUAGUUCAGGGUUGUCUCUUUCUCUUUUCAGUUCUGUCAGGUUUUGCUUCAGGUAUUUUUAUAUGGUUAUUAGGUGCAUACACAUUAGGUUAUUAUGUGUCAUUGAUAGUUUGGCUUCUUUAUCAUUAUGAAGUAUUGUUCUUUGUCCCUGAUAAUGUUUUUAAUAAUUGUAAUUUUCUUAUGGUUAAUGUUUAAAUGUUAUGGGUUUUCCCACCCUUUUUCUUUAAAUAUAAAAACAUAGGUUAAAAGUGGAUUUCUUCUAUAUAGCACUUUCUUGACUUUUCCUUUUCUAAACCUCUCUUACAAUCUCUUCCUAUAAUCUUAAUUUUUUAAAAAAAAUCAGUUUCACUUUUUCUUUGCAAAAUGUAGUAUGAAAAACUAUUGUCUUUUUAGCUUGUGAUUAUUUGCCUUUUUGUUUUCUUUUUUAAAAUUUUAUGUGCAAAUAGUGUAUAACAAUGAUGUAAAAUUUGCAAGAUAUGAAAGAGUUUAUAUUGAAGAGUUAGUCUCCUUCCCUUCCUAUACCCCUACUAUUAUAUUCCAUACACAGAGGCAAUCAUUUUGUCUAAUUGUGUACUGUUCCACACAUGCUAUAACCAUUUAUAAGCAGAUAUGAAUGUGUUCUUUUUGCUUUCACCCACGUUAUUGUAUAUUAUAUAUGCUAGUUAUAUAAAUCUUUGUAUAACCUUUUUAGUUGUGAAAUGUACCAUACACAGAAAAUUGCAUAAACUUACAGGUACAGUAAUAACGAAUAGUUAUAUAAUGAACACCUGUGUGAUCAUCAGCCAGGUGAAAAUAUAGAAAGAAGACAUCCAAAUAUCAUUUCUCAGUUAGAACUCCGUACCCCAGAGGUAACCACUCUCCUGACCUUUAUGAUAAUCAUUUCCUUGCCUUUCUUUUUGCUGUUACCACUUAUACUUACAUCCCUAAACAGUGUAGUUUAUAUUUACCUGUUUUUGAAAUUUAUAUGAAUGGAGCAAAACAUACCUUUUUCUUUUUAAAAUGUGUUUUUGCUUUCUUCACUCAGUCAUGUUCAUAACAUUCAUUUAUAUUGCCUAUAAGGAUAAUUUAUUUUCUAUAGAUGUCGUUGUAUGAAUGUACCACAAGAAAACACAUCAUAGGAAAAGGUUUUUUAAAUUUUACUGUUGGUGGGCACUGGAUCAUUUCCAGUUUAUUACGCAAAUAAUAGUGCUGUAGUGUGCUUGUACGUGUGUGCUCUUACACUUCAGCACUCAUGUCUGGGUAUACAAUUAGGAGUAGAGUUGCUAGAGCACAGGGUGUGCUGCUCUUACAUGUUAAUUCCAAAGUACUGUACUUUUCCAAAGUACUGCAGUAAAAUUUUAUUUCAUACCUCCAUAGACUUCUCAACCCUGGGUAUUGUGUGACUGCUAAUCUCGUAGUCAUGUAGUAGUUUCCCAUUGUGUUUGAAUUACUAAUGAAGUAAUAUAUUUUUUGUCUUAUGAAGUAAUUGUAUAUAAUUAUUUUGCCCAUUUUUCUUUUGGGUUGCAUACUCUUUUUUUUUUUUAACAAUUAGUAUUCUUCAUUGGUGAUGGAAAAUAUACAAACGUGUAUAUGUGUGUGGCUGGCCAAUAUCUUUUCAGACUCUGUGACUUCAUUGUUUUUAUGAGCAGAGGUUCUGGGUUUUAACAUAGUCAAAUGUAUUGGUCUUUAUGGUCAGACUUUUUUCCCACAGGAACAUGAAAAUAUUCUCCAUAAGCUCUAUACCUUUCCCUUUUACAUUUAGGUCUUUACUCCACUCAUACAGUUGUGGGAAUACAAAUUGUCAUAGUCUUUCUGUGGGCAGUUUGAUGAUACAUAUCAAAAUUUUGAAUGUGCCUAUCCUUUAAUCCAAGAAUUCUACUUUAAGAAAUUUAUCUUGGCCAAAUACAUUAAACAUUGUACAAAGAUGUCUAUGUGUAUAUAUACAGAUGCCAACACAACAUUUUCCUACCCAUUCUAUGGCAAAUAAGUGCAAAGGGUAAAGGUAUCCCUGUUGAGUGAUAUCAUCAGCCGCCUGUAUUUUGCCAAGUGCCUAACAGUGUAAUAUAAUCUUUAUCAGUCACUGUGGAGCUGUAAGGAAAGUAUCUUACCCAAAAGGAUUUUAUAUAAUUACUUUGAAAACUCUCAUGUAAUUUCAUUAUCACAUUUAUGAUAAAUUAGGUGGUUAGCAUUAGCACAUUUUAAGAUGGAAGGGUCAAGUGAUAGACUGGGGAAUCAUUGAAAAAACUUUGCAGUAAAAGUGUUUAAUAUCUAAGGCUAUUAUAACAGUGAAAUAAAUAGAGAUUGCAUUGCAUUCUGUAAGACCUUAAGUUUGGUGCUUUUUUUUUAAGCAGAGAACACAGUAGAUUAGGAAAGAAUGCUUAUUUAUUUGCAUUUUGGAUACCUCUAGAACAGUGGUUUUCAAUGGGGUGGAAGAGGGGACAGUUUCACACUCCUGGGAUUAUUUGAGCUGUGGGCAAUCUCUGGAAACAUUUUAGAUUGUUAGAAUUUGGGACUGUGGGUUGGGUGGGGACAAUGGUGCCGGUGAGUAGAGCCCAGGAAUGCUGCUAAACAUCCUUCAAUGGACAGGAAAGCCCCUACAAAUUUAUCUGGCCCAAAAUGUCAUUAGUGUCAAUAUCGAGAAACCCUGCUUUAGAAUGAUUGUUUCUAUGCGUUGAUAAUAAGUUAGCCUCUAAUUUGGGUCAUAUUAUAAAGGUACUUGACCUGGUAUGGGGCAUAAAGGAUUUUCUUGGAGAGGUGACAUUAUGACAGUAUACUUUGUUACAUGAAUAUGUCAUAGAAGACAUCAUAAUCAACCUGCAUUUAACUAAUUCACCAAAUUUGUGAUGUUCUGCAUUCUUUUUACGUAACACUUUGCUAGGUUCCUGUGGCUCUCUCUAAACACGUAAAGCCACCUUCAGCUUGCUGCCACUGUUCUGCUUCUAUGUCACUGUUGGAAGAAGAAUGCCCAUGAGCAUCAUGGGAGAAAAUAUCAGGCGUAAUUCUCCUUCCAGAUGGCACCCCUACAGGUGAGGCAGCAGCCUGUGAAAUUACAGUCUGAAUUACACUGCAGAUGAGCGGGGCAUUUGGACCAGAGCCUUCUGAUAUCAGUAAUAAAUGACUUGGUUCAGAACCAAGGACAAUUCCCAGGAAUUUAAAGGCUGUUGUAUCACAUAGGGAGCCUAUCGUAAAAUGAAGUUUAGCAAAGUGGAAAGUUGAGAGAAAGGACAAUGACCAUUAGCAAUACGUAUGUGAAUCUUUUCAUCUGCUAAUAUUUUUAACUGGAUAUUUUAUCUCAUGAAUGUCUUAUUAGUUCUAUAUAUAUGCUAGUAUUUGCAUUGAUUUUUCCAAACUAAUAUUUUCACAAUGAAUAGUGGCUAAGGGCCAGUUGCCAACUGAGAUAUUACUCUGAAAUGAUUGCACACCUGUUGUAAAUUCUAAUCUUGUUUAAUAUGGUCUAUGGAAAAUUUUUCAUUUUUGCAAUGCUUGAAUCCUUAACAAAUGUAGUAUAAUACACAUACUAAAUCUUAUUUUCAAUUAGACAAAUCAAUUUAAGAGGCAACAUAAAAGGGUGAUUCAGAACUUGUAUAGUGAGAUCAAGGUUCGAAUUCUGUCUCAUUCACUCCCCAUUUAUGUGACCGAACUAUUAUUUUAGAUCGCAACUUACUUAACAUAAAUAAAUUAAAUUGGAAUAACAAUAAAUGGUGCUUUGGGGAAGAAUUAAAUGAAAUAAUUUUUAUAGAGGCAUCACAAUGAAUUUUAACGAUUAUCACCACCAUUAUUUGUCAGUUUUAAUUUUAGAAAACAAAAUAUCAUUUUAAAAUAACAUUUUAAUUUCUACCACAAAAAUAAAAAGCAGUUUCAUUUUAACAAAUAUAAUAUUACACAUAGUAUUAAUAACUUUUAUUUAUUCAUUUUAAAGUUACAUAUUGAGUUCCUACUAUGUACCAGACACAUUUUCAGCCUUCAGGAAUAUAGCUUCAAACAAUAUGACAAAGUCCUUGAUCUUGGAGCUGAUAUUUUAGUAAGGAGACAAAAUAAAAACAAAAAUAAAUAGUAUUUUCAUUCAUAAGUGCUAUGAUGAAAUACAAAGCAGGAUAAAGAAAUGGAGCUUGAUGAAAGAAAAAGAAAGGAUAUUUUAUGUAGGAACAUCAGAGAAAUUCUUUGUGAUAAGG